rnacentral:pre_miRNA from 1 species
UCCAAAUGAUACUUCUUCUAACAUUGCUGCACAGUGUAGCAAUGUUACCAACAGUGCAGCAAUGUAGCCAACAGUGCAGCAAUGUUAGAAGAAGUAUCAUUUGGAA